rnacentral:rRNA from 1 species
CCACACGAGGGUUUUACUGUCUCUUACUUCCAAUCAGUGAAAUUGACCUUCCCGUGAAGAGGCGGGAAUAUAUAAAUAAGACGAGAAGACCCUAUGGAGCUUUAAUUAACUAACCCACAGACAACAAACCCCACUUCUAAGGAAAACAAAACAACACCCUGAUGGGCUAGCAAUUUAGGUUGGGGUGACCUCGGAAUACAAAAAAACUUCCAAGUGAUUAAAAUCUAGACUAACAAGUCAAAAUUAACCACAUCAAACAUUGAUCCAAUUUAUUUGAUCAACGGAACAAGUUACCCUAGGGAUAACAGCGCAAUCCUAUUUGAGAGUCCAUAUCGAUAAUAGGGUUUACGACCUCGAUGUUGGAUCAGGACAUCCCAAUGGUGCAGAAGCUAUUAAUGGUUCGUUUGUUCAACGAUUAAAG